CGCGUAGGCGGUUUGGCAAGUCUGACGUGAAAUGUACCGGUUCAACCGGGGCGCUGUGUCAGAAACUGCCUUACUUGAGGUCGAGGGAGGAGAGUGGAAUUCCCCGGUGUAGCGGUGAAAUGCGUAGAUAUCAGGAGGAACACCCGUGGCGAAGGCGACUCUCUAUCUCGAUUCUGACGCUGAGGCGCGAAAGCUAGGGGAGCAAACG
rnacentral:rRNA from 1 species